rnacentral:lncRNA from 1 species
UUAUUUAUUAUUUAAAUGGGGAAAAUAAAUAUUUAAAUGUCAAUUCUUUCUCUGUUCUCAUUCUCCCAUUUUCAUUCCACCUCUCCAAUCCCAUAUCUCAUUUCUCAAAUUUGUGUACUCCACCCAAAAUUUAUUCUCAUUCCCCUCUCUAAUCCAAGCGAAGAAGCAAACAUACCGUUAAGUCUUUAACUUACUCUGUACCAGAUUUGUUUUAGUAGAGUGUGCUUGUGUCCAGGUUUCUCUUUUGUUUCUCUUUGUUGCCCUUUUCGCUUGGACAAGAAGAAAAUAAACAACAAAGUCUACAAGUGCUUGAAAACACCUAUCGAAGAUAUGUCCCAGAGGCAUGGGUGAGUGAUUUUCAAACAAUUUAAUUUGAUUGGCUACCUCAACUCAAAUCUUGGGAAAGAUUAGUGGUUAGAAAAUAAAUUAUAGGCUUUGCCAUCCGUUACCUAUUUUUUCUUUUAAAUAUAAA